ensembl:misc_RNA Metazoa_SRP Metazoan signal recognition particle RNA
GCCAGGCGCAGUGGCGCAUGCCUGUAGUCCCAGCUACUUGGGAGGCUGAGGUGGGAGGAUUGCUUGAGUCCAGGAGUUCUGGGCUGUAGCACACUAUGCUGAUCGGGUAUCUGCAUACCCGAUCAUCAGGUGACCUCUCGAGAGCAGGGGACCACCGGGUUGCCUAAGGAGGGGUGAACCGGCCCAGGUCAGAAACGGAGCAGGUCAAAACUCACCUGCUGAUCUGUAGUGGGAUCAUGCCUAUAAAUAGCCACUGCACUCCAACCUGGGCAACAUCGAAACCCUGUCUCUG